rnacentral:rRNA from 1 species
AUUGAACGCUGGCGGCAGGCCUAACACAUGCAAGUCGAACGAGUGGCGGACGGGUGAGUAAUGUAUGGGAACGUGCCUGAUAGAGGGGGAUAACUACUGGAAAGGGUGGCUAAUACCGCAUACUAUUCGAUCGGCCGAGAUGGGAUUAGCUUGUGGGUGGGGUAAAGGAUCACCCAGGCGACGAUCCCUAGCCGGUCUGAGAGGCGGACCAGCCACACGUGGACUGAGAAACGGUCCAGACCCCUACGGGAGGCAGCAUUGGGGAAUCUUGCACAAUGGGCGAAAGCCUGAUCCAGCCAUGCCGCUUGUAUGAAGAAGGCCUUCGGGUUGUAAAGUACUUUCGGCAGGGAGGCGUUAUCCGCAGAAGAAGCACCGGCUAACUCCGUGCCAGCAGCCGCGGUAAUAC